CCUACGGGUGGCAGCAGUAGGGAAUCUUCGGCAAUGGACGAAAGUCUGACCGAGCAACGCCGCGUGAGUGAAGAAGGUUUUCGGAUCGUAAAACUCUGUUGGUAGAGAAGAACGUCGGUGAGCGUGGAAAGCUCAUCAAGUGACGGUAACUACCCAGAAAGGGACGGCAAACUACGUGCCAGCAGCCGCGGUAAUACGUAGGUCCCGAGCGCUGUCCGGAUUUAUUGGGCGUAAAGCGAGCGCAGGUGGUUUAUUAAGUCUGGUGUAAAAGGCAGUGGCUCAACCAUUGUAUGCAUUGGAAACUGGUGUGCUUGAGUGCGGGAGAGGCAGGUGGAAUUCGAUGUGUAGCGGUGAAAUGCGUAGAUAUAUGGAAGAACACCGAUGGCGAAAGCAGCUCUCUGGCCUGUAACUGACACUGAGGCUCGAAAGCGUGGGGAGCGAACAGGAUUAGAUACCCCAGUAGUC
rnacentral:rRNA from 1 species